AUACGUAGGGGACGAGCGUUGUCCGGAAUUACUGGGCGUAAAGGGCGCGCAGGCGGAUAUUUAAGUCAGCUGUAAAAGGCAUGAGCUCAACUCAUGUAUGCGGUUGAAACUGGGUAUCUAGAGUGCUGGAGAGGUAGGCGGAAUUCCCGGGGUAGCGGUGAAAUGCGUAGAUAUCGGGAAGAACACCAGUGGCGAAGGCGGCUUACUGGCCAGCAACUGACGCUGAGGCGCGAAAGCCAGGGGAGCGAACGGGAUUAGAUACCCCGGUAGUCCUGGCCGUAAACGAUGAAUGCUAGGUGUGGGUGUCGAGAGGCAUCCGUGCCGGAGUUAACGCGAUAAGCAUUCCGCCUGGGGAGUACGAUCGCAAGAUUGAAACUCAAAGGAAUUGACGGGG
rnacentral:rRNA from 1 species